UACGAAGGGGGCUAGCGUUGUUCGGAUUUACUGGGCGUAAAGCGCACGUAGGCGGAUUGUUAAGUCAGGGGUGAAAUCCCGGGGCUCAACCCCGGAAUGGCCUUCGAGACUGGUGGUCUUGAGUUCGAGAGAGGUGAGUGGAAUUCCGAGUGUAGAGGUGAAAUUCGUAGAUAUUCGGAGGAACACCAGUGGCGAAGGCGGCUCACUGGCUCGACACUGACGCUGAGGUGCGAAAGCGUGGGGAGCAAACAGG
rnacentral:rRNA from 1 species